rnacentral:rRNA from 1 species
AUGAACGAACAGCUCACACGCCCUUUCACCGAAGCCGAAGUGAAGGAUGCACUUGAUAGUAUUGGUAACAUCAAAGCCCCCGGACCAGAUGGGAUGCCAGCGAUUUUCUACAAGAAAUAUUGGUCGUUGGUUGGUCCAAAAGUGACAGCAGAAGUCUUGCAAGUCCUUGAUGGUGCUCCUAUGCCAGAAAAAGGGAAUGACACAUGUGUAGUGCUGAUACCAAAAGUAAAAAAUCCGGAAAGUAUGAAGGAAUUGCGUCCAAUAAGCUUGUGCAAUGUGCUCUAUAAGUUGAUCUCGAAAGUGCUUGCCAAUAGGUUGAAGGUGAUUCUUCCAGAGAUUAUUGCACCAAAUCAGAGUGCAUUUGUGCCAGGUCGCUUAAUUACCGAUAAUAUUCUUUUAGCCUAUGAGGUAACAGAUUACAUGCAUAAGAAGAAGAAUGGUAAGGAAGGCAUUGCGGCAUUGAAGCUUGAUAUGAGUAAAGCCUAUGAUAGAGUCGAAUGGCCCUUUCUGGAAGCUAUGAUGAGAAGAAUGGGUUUUGUGGAAGCAUGGAUCCAAUUGAUUAUGAAAUGUUGUCAGGCAGUGAAGUAUAAAUCCCGGUUUAAUGGAAAGCUUACUGAUGAAGUCAUCCCGGAGAGAGGAUUAAGGCAGGGGGAUCCCAUCUCUCCCUAUCUCUUUUUAUUCUGUAUGGAAGCUUUCUCAAGCCUGUUGAAUCAUGCGGAGAGCACUGGAAGUUUGGAAGGUGUUCAGAUAUGCAGUCAAGCCCCGAGUUUCAAUCACCUACUGUUCGCAGAUGACUCGUUGAUUCUACUGAAAGUAACCCCUGAGAGUCCACAUCAUAUGCAGAAUAUUUUAAACCUUUAUGAGGAUUGUUCUGGGCAAACCAUCAAUACAGAUAAAUCAUCCAUUACCUUCAGUAGGAAUACAAGAGAACCAGCAAGGAGAGCUAUGAUGGCAACACUAGGAGUUAAUAAGGAAGGAAGAGCUUACCGCUACUUGGGACUGCCUGUGCAUGUGGGUAAGUCAAAAAAACGCACAUUUGCGUACAUUAAGGACAGAAUUUGGAAGAAGCUUCAAGGAUGGAAAGAAAAGUUUUUGUGA